rnacentral:lncRNA from 12 species
AUGGCAGGUAGAACACAACUGGCACUUAAUAGAACAGAAGAGAAGAAAGGAGGGGGAAAAGAAAGAUGGAACCAAAGACUGAAGCAAUGCUCAUUCCUAAUUGCUGGCAUCUCAUGGCGCACCAUCGAAAACCAGGACACGCUGAGUAGAAAGUAUAUACUGAAGGAGCCAAGACUGAAAAGGUAUGUGACGGAGGGAGGAGAGACAAAGAACAAGGACCACGAAAAAAAUAUUUCUACCACAACUUAGUGCAAAGUCAAUGAUCCCAAAUGAAGCUGAGAGGGACAAGAUCCUUAAAUAGCCAGGAAGAUUUAAUUCUAGAAUAGAUGCUAGAAUAAGAUAUGAGUUCCAAAGUGGCUUCAUUAGAACUCAAAGGCCACAAAACACCACGACCAGAUCAAACUUACUCUUGUGGCCAAAAGGAACAUGGGCAGCUGUGGAGUCUUCUUACCCUAAACCUUCAACCUAAACCUGGGUCUUCUGGAGAUCCCAGCCUUCAGAAAUGGCUACGGUAAACAGCAGGUAAAAGGCCCAAAUAUUUAAAUUCCCUCCCUCCAGCAAGCUGUCUAAGGUGACCAUGCCCUUCAGACAAGGUGGCAUGUAUGAAAGGAAGCUUCCAAACAGUGGGGUUUAUUGUAUUUCCUUUCUAAUUUCCCCAAAAUGCCUGCAGAGAAGAUAAUCAGCAUCUGAGCAGCUGUGGACAAUCCACAAGGAGCUAGCUAUUUAGUUCUUCUUAAGUGAGGGCAAUUUAUUUUCAGAUUUUAAUUUAAAACACAGAGCUGACCCCAAACCCAGCAUUAGAGUCCUUUGCUCAUUCUCCCUCGGCUUAUGUAUUUCUUUCACGACUAUGCGCUAGUGUUUUGUUUUGUUGGGUCGUGUUGUAUUUUUUCCUUUCUCUGCUCUGCUCAAGCUCGAGUAGGGUAUGUGGGAGGUUGUGAGGAGGCACACAUGGCAACAUUUACACUGCACCUGUCUCACCUAUAGCCCCAUUACUUCCAAACAGAGAUCCCCCUACAGAGGCACUAAAACAACCUCCGGGAGGUUUCCUGGAAUCGUUUGUAACGUGGCUGCCUUGCGCACACCUAUAACUGUUAAACCCAUUUGUAGUCUCCACACUGGCCACCCUGCCUUGUGUUCUACCCCAGAUCGUCCCCUGAAAAUAUAAGUUCCUCCUGAGUAUGCAUUACCCAAAGAAUAAACGCAGUCAUCUGUACA